GACGAACGCUGGCGGCGUGCUUAACACAUGCAAGUCGAGCGAUGAAGCUCCUUCGGGAGUGGAUUAGCGGCGGACGGGUGAGUAACACGUGGGCAACCUGCCUUAUAGAGAGGAAUAACCAUCCGAAAGGAUGAUUAAUACCUCAUAAUAUUGUAGCUUCGCAUGGAGCAACAAUCAAAGGAGCAAUCCACUAUAAGAUGGGCCCGCGGCGCAUUAGCUAGUUGGUGAGGUAACGGCUCACCAAGGCGACGAUGCGUAGCCGACCUGAGAGGGUGAUCGGCCACAUUGGGACUGAGACACGGCCCAGACUCCUACGGGAGGCAGCAGUGGGGAAUAUUGCACAAUGGGGGAAACCCUGAUGCAGCAACGCCGCGUGAGUGAUGACGGCCUUCGGGUUGUAAAGCUCUGUCUCCAGGGACGAUAAUGACGGUACCUGAGGAGGAAGCCACGGCUAACUACGUGCCAGCAGCCGCAGUAAGAC
rnacentral:rRNA from 1 species